rnacentral:misc_RNA from 1 species
GAGAUAUUUCGGAUGGUGAAAGUGGUACUUAUCAUUCUAUCUUGCAUCAUUCUUCCGAACUUGCCUGGACCUAUGGCAACCAAUUUUAAGAUUGCCUAGCCAUUAGGAUCCUAUUCAAGCAAUUUUGGAUAUCACAAGAUUCGCUGUAGUUGGCAAAUGAAUCAUAUCUCAAGUUUAAGUUGAACUCCUUGUCUGGACAGUCUGGAUUCUUUAGGCUUUUAGGUUUUCAUCCAGAUUAAGACAUUGGCAAAGUCAACACAGCAGUAGAGCACCACCAACACAAUAUUAGGGCUGUCCUCUUUGAUAUCUCCUAGACCAGUAUCUGUACAACAUUUGAAUCUCAUAAUUGUCCAACAUGGUUUUUUUGAAACUGCCGAAUCAAUUUUCACCAAACAAAUUUUUCAUAGCUAUCUUCUAUGAUAGUGGUGAAAUGUAGGUGCUUAGACUUAAAUGGAGAUCACAGAUUAACAGGCAAUCAUGGAUUUGAGACUUGUAGUCUUUUGAGUUGAUUAUCCAAGUUUAUUUCCUUUCUUGAUGCCCAAUAUUGGUCUUCUGCUUGAAACAGAUGAGGGAGGCCACCACUAUGGG